AAUAUUGUACAAUGGGCGCAAGCCUGAUCCAGCCAUACCGCGUGAGUGAAGAAGGCCUUCGGGUUGUUAAGCUCUUUUGUUGGGAAAGAAAUCCUGUCGGUUAAUACCCGGUAGGGAUCACGGUACCCAAAGAAUAGGCACCGGCUAACUGCGUGCCAGGCACCGCGGUAAUACGAAGGGUGCAAGCGUUACUAGGAAUUACUGGGCGUAAAGCGUGCGUAGGUGGUUUGUUAAGUCUGAUGUGAAAGCCCCGGGCUCAACCUGGGAAUUGCAUUGGAUACUGGCAAGCUAGAGUGCGGUAGAGGGUAGUGGAAUUCCCGGUGUAGCAGUGAAAUGCGUAGAGAUCGGGAGGAACAUCUGUGGCGAAGGCGACUGCCUGGACCAGCACUGACACUGAGGCACGAAAGCGUGGGGAGCAAACAGG
rnacentral:rRNA from 1 species